UUGGCAUGGGUUAUCUAUAUGUACAAAAGGGAAUUUGAAUUAUUUCUACCCAGCCAAAGAACAAUUAGUAUUUCAUAAUAAUGAUAAGGGCCAUCUUUGUUGCAUUCUUGCUUUUGUCUUAUAUUCUUACAUUCUUUCUCACACCAACCGUAGCUAAUUGUUCUGGUACUUCUGGAUUCGUCGGAACACGUAAUCCAUUUUGCACUAAAACGCGUGUGUGUGCUUGUCCUCGUCAUUCUCCUGAGACGCAUCCAGGCCACGGCUAAGAACUUAAGAAUUGACAUGGACGGAAAGAACCUCGCCGGGUACGAACCGGAUAUGAACGAAUAAAUUGGAUCGAUCUCCGCAACACUAUUGUUCACAGCAGUCAUAUCAUACAUCAAAAUUAUUCAAAGUGUAGUUCGUAUUAUCUGUGAAAUAAGACGUAGUGACUUCUUGUUGACGAUUGAUUAGUUGUAAUGGAUUCUGGAUACGAAGUGUAAUAUUAUUGGCAGAGAAUGCAAAAGUGCCAUUAAAAUUUAUUA